GACGAACGCUGGCGGCGUGCCUAAUACAUGCAAGUCGAGCGAAGUUUUUCUGGUGCUUGCACUAGAAACACUUAGCGGCGAACGGGUGAGUAACACGUAAAGAACCUGCCUCAUAGACUGGGACAACUAUUGGAAACGAUAGCUAAUACCGGAUAACAGUAUUUCUCGCAUGAGAGAUAUUUAAAAGUUGGUUAUGCUAACACUAUGAGAUGGCUUUGCGGUGCAUUAGCUAGUUGGUGGGGUAAAGGCCCACCAAGGCGACGAUGCAUAGCCGACCUGAGAGGGUGAUCGGCCACACUGGGACUGAGACACGGCCCAGACUCCUACGGGAGGCAGCAGUAGGGAAUCUUCCGCAAAGGGCGAAAGCCUGACGGAGCAACGCCGCGUGAGUGAAGAAGGAUUUCGGUUCGUAAAGCUCUGUUGUUAGGGAAGAAUGGAUAUGUAGUAACUAUACAUGUAAGAGACGGUACCUAACCAGAAAGCCACGGCUAACUACGUG
rnacentral:rRNA from 1 species